UACGAAGGGUGCAAGCGUUGUUCGGAUUUAUUGGGCGUAAAGAGCGCGUAGGCGGAUGUAUAAGUUUGGUGUGAAAUCUCGGGGCCUAACCCCGAAACUGCGCCAAAAACUGUGUAUCUAGAAUCUUGGAGAGGGAAGGGGAAUUUCUCAUGUAGGGGUAAAAUCCGUAGAGAUGAGAAGGAACACCAGAGGCGAAGGCGCCUUCCUGGACAAGUAUUGACGCUGAGGCGCGAAAGCGUGGGGAGCAAACAGG
rnacentral:rRNA from 1 species